CUACGGGGUGCUGCAGUGGGGAAUAUUGCACAAUGGGCGCAAGCCUGAUGCAGCCAUGCCGCGUGUAUGAAGAAGGCCUUCGGGUUGUAAAGUACUUUCAGCGGGGAGGAAGGGAGUAAAGUUAAUACCUUUGCUCAUUGACGUUACCCGCAGAAGAAGCACCGGCUAACUCCGUGCCAGCAGCCGCGGUAAUACGGAGGGUGCAAGCGAUAAUCGGAAUUACUGGGCGUAAAGCGCACGCAGGCGGUUUGUUAAGUCAGAUGUGAAAUCCCCGGGCUCAACCUGGGAACGGCAUCUGAUACUGGCAAGCUUGAGUCUCGUAGAGGGGGGUAGAAUUCCAGGUGUAGCGGUGAAAUGCGUAGAGAUCUGGAGGAAUACCGGUGGCGAAGGCGGCCCCCUGGACGAAGACUGACGCUCAGGUGCGAAAGCGUGGGGAGCAAACAGGAUUAGAUACCCUAGUAGUC
rnacentral:rRNA from 1 species